GACGAACGCUGGCGGCGUGCUUAACACAUGCAAGUCGAACGAAGAGCGAUGGAAGCUUGCUUCUAUCAAUCUUAGUGGCGAACGGGUGAGUAACGCGUAAUCAACCUGCCCUUCAGAGGGGGACAACAGUUGGAAACGACUGCUAAUACCGCAUACGUUCUAACCUCGGCAUCGAGGAUAGAUGAAAGGUGGCCCCUACAUGUAAGCUAUCACUGACGGUGGGUCUUGCGUCUGAUUAGCUAGUUGGUGGGGUAACGGCCCACCAAGGCGAUGAUCAGUAGCCGGUAUGAGAGGAUGAACGGCCACAUUGGGACUGAGACACGGCCCAGACUCCUACGGGAGGCAGCAGUGGGGAAUCUUCCGCAAUGGACGAAAGUCUGACGGAGCAACGCCGCGUGAGUGAUGACGGCCUUCGGGUUGUAAAGCUCUGUUAAUCGGGACGAAAGGCCUUCUUGCGAAUAGUUAGAAGGAUUGACGGUACCGGAAUAGAAAGCCACGGCUAACUACGUG
rnacentral:rRNA from 1 species